rnacentral:rRNA from 1 species
UACGGGGGGGAGCAAACGUUUGUUCGGAAUUACUGGGCGUAAAGGGUGCGCAGGCGGCUCGGUUAGUGGAAUGUGAAAUGCCCUGGCUUAACCAGGGAACUGCAUUCCAUACUGCCGGGCUUGAGUAUAGGAGAGGAUGGGGGAAUUCCCGGUGUAGCGGUGGAAUGCAUUGAUAUCCGGAGGAACACCUGUGGCGAAAGCGGCCACCUGGACUGCACCUGACGCUGAAACGCGAAAGCUAGGGGAGCGAACGGG